CGGACACUUGGCAGCAGGACCAGUGGGACCACCUACGGAGCCGAGGCCGGGAGCGCAGAGGGAAGAGCUGCUCGGGGCUCCUGCUCCCCGGAUGCCAUGAGGCACAGCAGGUGCUCCGUGGCCCUGGUGUCUUCCGCGGUGGCGCCAGCCAAGGAGGCCAACGCCACGGGCCCGAAGGCGGUGGAGCUGGUCCUGGUCAAGGAGCAAAAUGGGGUGCAGCUCACGAACUCCACCCUCCUCAGCCCCCCGCAGAGCUGCGCCGAGGCCCCAGAUCGGGAGACCUGGAGCAAGAAGGCCGACUUCCUCCUCUCGGUGAUCGGCUUCGCCGUGGACCUGGCCAACGUCUGGCGGUUCCCUUACCUGUGCUACAAAAAUGGUGGGGGUGCCUUCCUGGUCCCCUACCUGUUCUUCAUGGUCAUUGCCGGGAUGCCGCUUUUCUACAUGGAGCUGGCCCUUGGGCAGUUCAACAGGGAGGGGGCUGCUGGCGUCUGGAAGAUCUGCCCCAUCCUGAAAGGCGUGGGCUACUCUGUCAUCCUUAUCUCGCUCUACAUCGGCUUCUUCUACAACGUCAUCAUCGCCUGGGCCCUGCACUACCUCUUCUCCUCCCUGACGGCCGAGCUGCCCUGGACCCACUGCAACAACACCUGGAACAGCCCCCACUGCUCCGACGCCCGCGCCGCCAACUCCAGCGCCAACGACACCAGGACCACACCCGCCGCCGAGUACUUCGAGCGCGGCGUGCUGCACCUCCACGAGAGCCGCGGCAUCGACGACCUGGGCCCGCCCCGGUGGCAGCUCACGUCCUGUCUGGUGCUGGUCAUCAUCCUGCUCUACUUCAGCCUGUGGAAGGGAGUGAGGACCUCGGGCAAGGUCGUGUGGAUCACGGCCACCAUGCCCUACGUGGUCCUGCUGGCACUGCUCCUGCGAGGCAUCACGCUGCCUGGGGCCCUGGACGGCAUCCGAGCUUACCUGAGCGUGGACUUCCACCGGCUCUGCGAGGCCUCGGUCUGGAUAGAUGCCGCCAUCCAGAUAUGUUUCUCGCUGGGGGUCGGCCUGGGGGUGCUCAUCGCCUUCUCCAGCUACAACAAGUUCACCAACAACUGCUACAGAGACGCCAUCAUCACCACCUCCGUCAACUCCCUGACCAGCUUCUCCUCCGGCUUCGUGGUCUUCUCCUUCCUGGGCUACAUGGCCCAGAAGCACAGCGUGCCCAUCGGGGACGUGGCCAAGGACGGGCCCGGGCUGAUAUUCACCAUCUACCCCGAGGCGCUCGCCACGCUCCCGCUGUCCUCCGUCUGGGCCGUGGUUUUCUUCGUCAUGCUGCUCACCCUGGGGAUCGACAGCGCCAUGGGCGGGAUGGAGUCGGUCAUCACCGGCCUCAUUGACGAGUUCCAGCUGCUGCACAGGCACCGGAAGCUCUUCACCCUCUUCGUGGUGCUGACCACCUUCUUCCUCUCCCUCUUCUGCGUCACCAACGGCGGCAUCUACGUCUUCACGCUGCUGGACCACUUCGCGGCCGGCACGUCCAUCCUCUUCGGGGUGCUCCUGGAGGUCAUUGGGGUGGCCUGGUUCUACGGCGUGUGGCAGUUCAGCGACGACAUCAAGCAGAUGACCGGACAGCGUCCCAGCCUCUACUGGCGGCUGUGCUGGAAGUUCAUCAGCCCCUGCUUCCUCCUGUUCGUGGUCGUGGUCAGCAUCGCGACCUUCAGGCCCCCGCACUACGGCGCCUACGUCUUCCCCGAGUGGGCCAACGCGCUGGGCUGGGCCAUCGCCGCGUCCUCCAUGUCCGUGGCGCCCGUCUACGCCGCCUACAAGUUCUGCAGCCUGCCCGGGUCCCUGAGGGAGGUAGGUGUGCGCGGCCCUCGCCCGCCCUGCCCCCCACGGCAAGGCCACCGAUGCGGUCAGGCCGCGGUCCUUGUCCCUGGCCUGCCCCCUGUUCGUCUCUGACCAGCAGGAGGGGGCACCUACCAUGCCAGACACGUGGGUUGGUGUGGGAGGAAGGGGGCUGUGCCUGUGUGUGUGUGUGUGUCUCUGUGUGUCUCUGCAUGUCUGUCUGUCUGUGUGUAUGUCUGUGCGUCUGCAUGUACUUGCCUGUGUGUCUGUGCAUGUGUGUUUAUGUGUGUGUGUCUGUGGGUGUCUACGUGUGUGUCUGUGCGCACACUUGCCUGUGUGUCUGUGCACCCGCACAUGUGCCCUCCACUGCCCAGUGCAGGUGGGAAGGGCACUGGUCUGAGGGUAGGGGUGGAUUCAGGCCAGCUUCUCUCCCGGUGCCAAGCCGCAGCCAUGGUGUGGGCAGGCGCUGCUCUGGGCCUCUGGGUCAGGCAGGCCCUGGGUCAGCUGAGAAGGAGGGCAGGAGAGCUGGUCACAGGGGUCCCUCCGCUCACAUCCGGGCACCGGGAUGCCCGGAAGAGACAGACGACACAGCCUGCUUGGAAGAGGCCCCCCGCCCUCCCGCCCACCGGCCAGCCCAGGGCCACCAGGAGCCCUCAGACACUGCCCUGUGCCCAUGUUCCACAGUCGCCCUGAGGACCGGUGGCAGUGAGGCCCCGUGGCUGUACCCGGCUGGUCCAAGCAUUUCCCCCGGGCUGCGCGGCAGCCCUUGGGUUUGGAAGCCAAGGCAAGUGCCCCUCACGGGCUGGUCCCUGCCGGGCCCACAGCAUCAGCAGGCACAGCACAGGCAGGUGGCCACCCCUCCUUUUGGGCCUCGAGGUUCCUGCAAAGCUGGGUGGGUCGUGUGGUACAGACCCCACUGCCACCUCCCUCGCUGGCCUUCAGAGACCAGCCAUCCCCGUGGGAGACCCCUCUGUGUCAGCUGGGGACGGAGGGUCUGACCCCCUCGCCGGCCAAACCCUGAGCAUAAGCCACGUGGUGUCUCAGUGCUGAGACUGGGGCUGUGGGAGCGCCCAGGGCUGCAACACCAGGAGGGGGAGCAGGGCCCCAAAGAGCCCUAGAGUGCCAGCCACUGAGAGAUGGCGUGGAGAGACAGCGGCUUGGGCAGGUGGCAGAGGGAAGGCCAGCUUCCUGAGCUGAAUGUGAUGAAGAGCAGGCUCCUCCUCCCCCCCAACCCCCUGGGAGCCCCAGGUACCGCUAGGAGAGUACGAGGUCCACCUCGGCUUGGGGCCAACCAGAGCUGGCAUGGAGAUGAGUCCUCCCCAGGUAGCAGCUUCUCCAGGAUGCAGGGAGGCCGGGGCAGUCAGCUGCCACUGCUGAGCGCGUGGACAAUUCGCCUGAGGUUCUCUGAGCUGGGCAGGCUCCCACGGUGGCUCCUUCUCUUCUAGAAACUGGCCUACGCCAUCACGCCAGAGAAGGAGCACGAGCAGCUGGACAGGGGGGAGGUGCGCCAGUUCACGCUCCGCCACUGGCUGGUGGUGUAGACGGGAGCAGGGAGGGAAACUCGCUGGACACCGUCCGCGGCAGGACAGAUGCAAACGGAGAAGGAAAAUGCGCUUCCGGAAGGGCCGGCCGCGCCCGCUCUGUACCUCCUGCUUCGCUCUCCCUCGGAUGCUCACGGCCUCCUGCCCGGGGGCGACCUGACCCGCCGUCGUCCGUGUCGUUGUGUAACUUUCGUGGUCUGUGCCUGUCCCGCAGGCAGAAACAUCCCAGUCGCGUUCCGUGCAUAUAGAGCCGGCUGCCUCCCUGACCCCGCGCCCCCCCAGCGGCCCCCGCAGCCGUCCCCUCGCUGCCGUCGGGGGUUGCCCGCGAGAAGGCUGGUAACUGUGCAUCGCGGGCUCUCGGCCAAGAACCCAGCGCUCACAGAGCUUCCCGGGCCCUUUGUUUGCUCAUGUGAAAAGAGCCAAGUGUCAUGUUUUGCCUAAUUGUGCAGAGGUGACGUGGAGGAGCAGACAAAGGUGACAGUGCAGGACCAGUGUCCUUCCCAGGGGCGCUGAGCGCCCGCGCAGAAAGCCCACGUUGUCGUGUCCGCGUGUCUCCACAGUGGUCUCUGUGUGGUUGUCGCCAACAAUAAAGAACCUGACGGGAAAAGA